rnacentral:rRNA from 1 species
UACGUAGGGUGCGAGCGUUGUCCGGAAUUACUGGGCGUAAAGAGCUUGUAGGCGGUUUGUCGCGUCUUCUGUGAAAACUUGGGGCUCAACCCCAAGCUUGCAGGGGAUACGGGCAGACUAGAGUACUUCAGGGGAGACUGGAAUUCCUGGUGUAGCGGUGAAAUGCGCAGAUAUCAGGAGGAACACCGGUGGCGAAGGCGGGUCUCUGGGAAGUAACUGACGCUGAGAAGCGAAAGCAUGGGUAGCAAACAGG